GAGAAGAGGAGAUUUCAGGUGAGCCUGUUCCUACUGUUGAAUUACAUUUAUUUUGAUGGCGGCGGGGUGUGCAGAUGACCCUUUCCUCACACCGUCUCCGAUAUUGGUGUUCACCAAAACAUCUUUAUCCAGUAGUGCAAAAUGUCAUGCUAACCUUGUCUUAGUUUCACGUCUUUAAUUCUGAAACUUGAAACAAAAACAAUGCAUCAGUGGGCCAUGGAGACUUCUUCUUCUGUGUAUGGGAUACUGUGUCUUUUAUUCUUCUAUUCUGGUAUGUCCUCCCUGAUUUCUAGUCAUUUUUGAAUUAUUUAUAGACAGUAAACAUUGCCCAAUAUAUUAUGAAAAUGUGUUUCCACUUUAUUGUUGCCUCUGAAAACAUUUUGAACAGAAGCUUUUAUAAGCAAGGCUUGAAUUUUUCUUUUUUAUGUUGUCUUAGGUUUGUGUGAGUUUCCACCUUUGUGUAACACAUUUUUCCUUUUAACAGAACCAUUUUAUCACUGUCUCUCUUCCUUCUUGGGAAAAAGAAAACCAUCUUUUUCUUUUCAUUUGCAUUACUUACAACUAUGAAUUGAUUUAUAGAGUGCUAAAAUAUUUGUAAAAUCGAGCAGAUUCUUCUGUGUGCCUUUUUCUCCUGGUGAUUUAUUUAAAUGGAUUUCUAAGGUGUUUUCCCGUCAGUAUUGAUUUGUUUUGGUGAGUACGAUUUUAUGUGCGCUAUUUGUCUCUCUGUUUCUGAACUAUAGCAACAUUUUUGUGCAUUCUCUCUUACUCUCCACUGAAUGAUGAACCCUUGUGAACUUCCAAUUGUUUUCUCUUCAUUUCUUAAUGUUUCUGAGAAGACCGACAUAUUAUUUGUAAGUGAUUUUAAAAUUUGUCUCCUUUUCUAUGUUUUUUCGUUGUCUUCAGAGUGUCUUCAGAGUGCAUUCGUAUUUUUGUUGAAUUGGCUUUGCUAGAGAACACAUGAUGGCUUUAAGUAUGAGUGAAGAGAGUAGACAUUUUUUAUUCCUGAUUUCAAGGUAAAAACCUAAAGAGGUUCACCUGUAAAUAAAAUAAAUUGUCUUUACAAAACCAGAUACUCAUUCCAAGAAGAUCUCUCUAUUCUAGUAUACUUUUUUUUCUAAACAUACAAUAGUAUAGGUUCUCAUACUGUGAGACUUCUUAUUUCUUUAUACACAAUAUAUUUGAAAAGUCAUUGGUUUUUUAGUGAUUACUAAUGUACUGUUACAUGGUUUUGAAAAGUGUUGGAUUCAAAGUUUCCUUCAUUUAAGCCUCUUUUUUCUCCCUUCCCCAUAUAAAAAGUUGAUGAUGGCCAGGAAUAGAGGUUCACACAUAUAAUCCCAGCACUUUGGGAGGCUGAGAUGGGAGCAUCUUUUGAGCCCAGGAGUUCAAGACCAGCCUGGGCAACAUAGCAAAACCCCCUCUCUACAAUGAAAUGAAAAAUUAGCCAGGCUUGUUGGCACAUACCUGCUGUCCCACCUGCUUGGGAGGCUGAGGCAGGAGGAUUGCUUGAGGCCAGGAGGCGGAGCCUGCAGUGAGCCGUGGUCACACCACUGCACUCCAGCCUGCGUGACAGAGGAAGACCCUGUCUCAAAACAAAACAAAAAUGGUUCCUCGACUUUAGUUAGGAUUUGAAAAGCUUAGAACUGGAAGGCAGCCUCUGAAAUUAUCAAGAAUGUCACAGCAGUUUGUGGAACACACCUGGGUGGGUAGACCCACUUUUUAGACACUCUCUAGCCCAAAUCUGAUCACAGUCAUUCUUCCUCACCUCUUAGGGUCUCCCUCACAGAAGGUGUUGGGGGCCUUGGACGAGAUGUUGAUGGGAUGGGAAUAAACAGGAGCAAAUAAUGUGCAGGCGAAGUUGGAGUUCCUGCUCAGUCUGGGAGGAGAAUUGAUUUAUGAAUUUCUUUCUUUCUCUCUUUGUAUCUAUCUCUUCUUUCUCUCUCUCUCUCUCUCUCCCCCCAGCCACCUUCUGAUCUCUAAUCCAUUCAUGUGAGAGAAGAGCGAUGUGAAAAUGGUCAGCAAUUUGCUUUUUCUGAUGAGAUCCUGGUGAGAGUCAUGUUCAAUAAAGUAUUUAGUCACGUGGGGCUCCAGUGAUUUCUCUGUUUACAAGCUCAUUCCUUCCUCAUUUUCUCAGAACUUUGGUGUUAACAGCCUGUUUCCUAUUUGUAGGGGCUGACUUUGACUUAGCAGAUGCCUUUCGUGAUGGAGGAAAUAACGACCCAGCACCUCUUAAUUCACCCAAGCUGAAGCCAAAUGCGAACCCUGAGCAGCCUGGAUUCAUUGACGAGCCAGCACCACUGAACCCACCCAAACCAAAGCCAAAUCCAAACCCCAAGCAGCCUGAUUCCACCGGGGAUGACUUUGAUUUCACAGAUGUUUCUUCAUGGUGAACGAAACAGGGAGUUGCCUCGAUUCUGAUGUGUUUGCUUCGGUGCUCUGUGUAUUGUAUUCAUCCCACUCUUCAAUUCAUAAACUCUGGAGAUUCUUCAAUUCACUGGGCAAACCAUAUGCCUAAGUCUAUCCUCUGAUGGAGGCUCGUACAUGCAAAAUCCAAUAGCAACCUGGGAAGAUUUCAGUCAAGACCCAAGAGGAGGCUGGCAUCAGGCUCUCGGUCACCGAUCUUCACAUUCAGGUUUCCUGAUGCACUUUGCGACUCUUUGGGCAACCUCUGGACUCCUUGUUCCCAGGGUCCACAUUUAGUUUUAUCUUUACUGCAUUGCUUUUAUGAAAAAGAAUAAAAUUGGAUGAAACAGAUACAGAGUAUUGGUGUCAACCUAAGUAUUGGUGUCAACAAAGAGAUGGUUUGGAUCUGGUUCCCCACCACAUCUUAGGUUGAGUUGGAAUCCCCGGUUUGGAGGUGGCGCCUGGUGGGAGGUGACUGCAUUAUGCGGGUGGUUUCCAUUGAAUGGUUUACCACUGUCCCCCAUGGUGCUGUUGUGGCGGAAGUGAGUUAUCAUCCAAUCUGGUUGUUUAAAGGGUGCAACAACUUCCCCACCCCGUCCUGCUCCUGCUGUGGCCAUGUAAGAUGUGCCUGUUUCCCCUCUGCCUUCCGCCAUGAUUGUAAAUUUCCUGAGGCCUCCCCAGCCGUGCUUCCUGUACUGCCUGUGGAACCGUGAGCC
rnacentral:lncRNA from 1 species